CCUACGGGUGGUAGCAGUGGGGAAUAUUGCACAAUGGGGGGAACCCUGAUGCAGCAACGCCGCGUGGGUGAAGAAGUACUUCGGCACGUAAAGCCCUGUCAGCAGGGAAGAAAAUGACGGUACCUGACCAAGAAGCCCCGGCUAACUACGUGCCAGCAGCCGCGGUAAUACGUAGGGGGCACGCGUUAUCCGGAUUUACUGGGUGUAACGGGAGCGUAGACGGCAAGGCAAGGCUGGAGUGAAAGCCCGUGGCUCAACCCCGGGACUGCUUUGGAAACUGAGUGGCUGGAGUGCAGGAGGGGUAAGCGGAAUUCCUAGUGUAGCGGUGAAAUGCGUAGAUAUUAGGAGGAACACCGGUGGCGAAGGCGGCUUGCUGGACUGUAACUGACGUUGAGGCGCGAAGGCGUGGGGAGCAAACAGGAUUAGAUACCCUAGUAGUC
rnacentral:rRNA from 1 species